rnacentral:rRNA from 1 species
UACCGCAUAAGCGCACAGUAUCACAUGAUACGGUGUGAAAAACUCCGGUGGUACAAGAUGGACCCGCGUCUGAUUAGCUAGUUGGUAGGGUAACGGCCUACCAAGGCGACGAUCAGUAGCCGACUUGAGAGAGUGAUCGGCCACAUUGGGACUGAGACACGGCCCAAACUCCUACGGGAGGCAGCAGUGGGGAAUAUUGCACAAUGGGGGAAACCCUGAUGCAGCGACGCCGCGUGAGUGAAGAAGUAUUUCGGUAUGUAAAGCUCUAUCAGCAGGGAAGAUAAUGACGGUACCUGACUAAGAAGCCCCGGCUAACUACGUGC